rnacentral:lncRNA from 1 species
GAUCAUCUCUUCGAUAGAGCAGGUGGGUAGGCAAGGACUGAGUAGUGGCUCGGAAUUUAUUUUUUUGAGGUCUUAGCACUAGUUAGGAUCCGUAGAAGUGGGUCUUGUGGCGUUCAGAAACUCCGACACACUUGAUUCUAGUGGUACUACCGACGUACUCGCUAGAUCAGCAUUGAAUCCAUACAUUGAACAAGUUGAAUAUUGUGAUUUGAAUGACGAGAAUUGUUGGGCUAGCUUACUGCCUUCUACUGAUGUGAACGUCACUAGUAUUCCACAGCCUGGUUAGGUUAUUGUACAAGUGCCCAAUACAGAUAGAAUUUGCUAUUGAUCGUGAUUCCGUUCAGUGUUGGAGGGCGUUGGAUUUUCUUCCAUCAGUCUGUUGGAUUGGUGAGUUUCGGGGUGGAAUUUCUGAAGGUAAGAGCCACUUGGUAUCAGCUUCCCGGAGAGCUUGGGAUCAUCGAAAUAGGAACUAAGAGGAAUCGAGUCGCAACUAAUCAAGUGACGAUCGUCUUCGCAGUUCUUGGUGAGUUUGGAUCACGAAACUACUUCGGAGGAGCAAUUGUGGAGUUCGGAGUACUGAGGCGACUGGAGCGGUAAUUUUUGAUUGAGUGUGUGUGAGAUGGUCAGGUGACCUAGUUUGUGACUGUGUAUGUGUGUUUUUGUUUUUUUGUUGUGGUUAGUUAUUAAAUUACUAUAAUUGUUGUGAAUAUGUCAUUAGGAUUAGGAGAAUGGUUUGUUAGAGUUUGUUAGGGGUAGAAUUUGUUAAUAUUUGUAAGGUUUGUUAAUAUUUGUUUGUAUUUGUUAGGACUAAGAUGUGGAUUUAAGGUGGUUGUUAUAAGGUUUGUUAAAGUUUGCUAUCUUAGUAUUUGUAUAUUAUUUGUGUAUGGCUUAGUAGUUGCAAGAGAUGAUUUAGGAUUCAUUAGGAUAUAGGAUUUGUUAUUUUAGGAUUAUAAAGGUUAGAUGAAAUAGAAAAAAAAAUAGCAUUAAAUGGAGGAAUGAUAAUUAGAAGAAAAGAUUAAAAUGUGGAAUUUGAUAGACAUAUUGAUUCUUAAUUGUAUGUAGUAUUAGAAUUUCACAGUGUUUGUUUAUUGUAUUGAGUAUGUUUGUGCCUUGUUAAUUUUUUUUCUUACUUGUGUAUGAAAGCAUGUAUAUUAAUUUUUCUUAAAAUAGUAGUUAUUAAAGAUAUAUGCUAAAAUAUAGGUUUAACUUGAGCUAGGACCAAAAGUGGGAUUAUAUUAUUAGUAAGAUUUACAUUAUUAUUAUGGAUUAGAAUAAGCUUUUAAAAAUGUAUCUAGUGAUCAAGUAUUAGUUUUGGAUUAUUUAGGAAUAAAGUUGUAUCUUUAAAAUAACAUGUGUAAGAUUUAAUAUGACAUGCUUGGUAUAGAAACGUUUAUAGAAGAGUGUGGAAUAAAUAUUUUAAUAGAAAAAGUAAAUCUAAGGUAUGGCAAAAUGUUAAAAUUUGGAAUAUUUAUUAAAAAGUUACUAUGACAUAUCUUCAGUAGUUUAUUAAGAAUUAUAUUAUAGUACAAAGGCCUUUGCUAUGUAUAUAGUAGUAGAGAUAUUUAUUUAAUAUAGAAUAAUCUAAUGUCAAUUUGUAAGAUAAUAGCACAAUAUUAAAUAUUGAAGUCAAUAAAGAUAUUUGGAGAGAAUAUUAAGUUUAUCUUGUAGCAUUGAAGGUUUUAUUGA